rnacentral:rRNA from 1 species
GACGGAGGGCGCUAGCGUUGUUCGGAAUCACUGGGCGUAAAGGGCGCGUAGGCGGCCAUUUAAGUCGGAGGUGAAAGCCCGGGGCUCAACCUCGGAACGGCCUUCGAGACUGGAUGGCUAGAGACCGGAAGAGGAGGGUGGAAUACCCAGUGUAGAGGUGAAAUUCGUAGAUAUUGGGUGGAACACCAGUGGCGAAAGCGGCUCUCUGGUCCGGUUCUGACGCUGAGGAGCGAAAGCGUGGGGAGCAAACAGG